GUUGACCUCGGAUCAGGUAGGAAUACCCGCUGAACUUAAGCAUAUCAU
rnacentral:rRNA from 3 species